CCUGAAACUGCUAAAGCAGCCAAAAUCCUAAGAGUAGAUAUGUCCUGAGCCAAGAGGAAAACUCAAUACUCUUAUUUUGCUAAAGUACCAUAUCAGUGAAAUGACUGUCAUAACUAUAGAUCUGUGUUUGAAACCCUCAUUAGAAAAGCAUCAUCUUCUUGUAGACUAUGGACACUAAUACAGAGACCCCAACCUGGAAAGUGUACAGAGAAAGUGCACUGGAUCCAAUAACCAAGGAACUUAUGAUUCAAACAGCAAAACCAACUUUUGGGCAUCUGACAGAAGAAGACGUAAAAAAUGAAUAUAUAAAAAAAGUACAAGAAAAAGAAUGGAAAUAUUUCAAGAAUAAGACGAUUCAAGGAAUCUUUCAAAGUAAAGGAGUUCUUCCUGGCUUUGGAAAAUGGGAACACGAUUGGUCAACGAUCCCCAAGAACUUUAAGAGCAGUCUUAUCACUUAUACAUGAUACAAGUCUCUUUAUAUCCAGUGCUUCCAUCUUUAAUAUUCAAUUGCUUUUUGGCCAUUUUACUUUAUUUAUUUUUUGAAUAGCUCUAAAUAGUUAUAUAUAAAACUAUAUCUAUUUUAUUUUCUACAACAGAUAGCAAUAGCCCUUCUAAUACUUUACUAUGUAUCACCUCUCAGUAUAUUUGCUUUGUAUAGCUAAAUGAUUUUUAUAUUGUCAUAGGUUUUUCAUUGUGAGAUAGUAUAUUAUAAAUGAAAAUAAGUGGUAUCUUUUAUAGCAAUGAUUGUAAAGGGCUCCAAAGCUUUAAGUAAAAUACUUUCCUACAUGGAAACACUAAGUAGAGAUAUUUAAAUAAAAUACCACAUUUUAUUUCCUUGUACAGCAUAUGACAAUAAAAACAUUUUCC
ensembl:lncRNA